CACAUUAGCGCCAGCAGCCGCGGUAAUUCCAGCGCGAAUAGUGUAUAUUAGAGUUGUUGCAGUUAAAAAGCUCGUAGUUGGAUUUCUGUCGUGGUCAGCCUGCGCUGCUCGUAUGGGUGUGCGCGUGGUUUGCCCGCGGCUUUUUUCCGGUAGCCUCCGGCUCUUAAUUGCGUCGGUAGGUGUUCUGGAACUUUUACUUUGAGAAAAAUAGAGUGUUUCAAGCAGGCUUG
rnacentral:rRNA from 1 species